UACGUAGGGUGCGAGCGUUGUCCGGAAUUACUGGGCGUAAAGAGCUCGUAGGUGGUUUGUCGCGUUGUCCGUGAAAACUCACAACUCAAUUGUGGGCGUGCGGGCGAUACGGGCAGACUGGAGUACUGCAGGGGAGACUGGAAUUCCUGGUGUAGCGGUGGAAUGCGCAGAUAUCAGGAGGAACACCGGUGGCGAAGGCGGUUCUCUGGGAAUGACCUGACGCUGAGGAGCGAAAGUGUGGGGAGCGAACAGG
rnacentral:rRNA from 1 species